AUAUUGGUCAAUGGCCGGGAGGCUGAACCAGCCAAGUCGCGUGAGGGAAGACGGGCCUAUGGAUUGUAAACCUCUUUUGUCAGGGAGCAAAAACUGCCACGCGUGGCAGGAUGAGAGUACCUGAAGAAAAAGCAUCGGCUAACUCCGUGCCAGCAGCCGCGGUAAUACGGAGGAUGCGAGCGUUACCCGGAUUUAUUGGGUUUAAAGGGUGCGUAGGCGGACAGUUAAGUCAGCGGUAAAAUUGAGAGGCUCAACCUCUUCCCGCCGUUGAAACUGAUUGUCUUGAGUGGGCGAGAAGUAUGCGGAAUGCGUGGUGUAGCGGUGAAAUGCAUAGAUAUCACGCAGAACUCCGAUUGCGAAGGCAGCAUACCGGCGCCCAACUGACGCUGAAGCACGAAAACGUGGGUAUCGAACAGG
rnacentral:rRNA from 1 species